GUCUAGCACUAUUAAGCAGCAUCAAUCUUUCUGGCAAUAAAUUAGUUGGAAAAAUUCUUGAAGAAAUUUCAAGUCUUGCUGAAUUGCUUUCUUUGAACCUGUCUAGCAAUUAUCUGACAGGGCAUUUAAUUAAAUAGAUUGGUGAGCUAAAAGUGUUGGAAUCUCUUGACUUGUCUAGAAACCAACUUUUUGGUGAGAUUCCAAUAAGUAUCACUCGUUUAACCUUUCUUUCGGUCUUGGAUUUGUCAAAUAACAACUUGUCCGGAAAAAUUCCGUCAAGCACUCAACUACAGAGCUUUAAUGCCUCUGCAUAUGCUGGCAAUCAUGAACUUUGUGGGCUUCCGCUUCCAAAUAAGUGCCCAGGGGAUGAGUCAGAUUUGAAUCCUUCCAUAACUGUUCACGGUGAGGAAAGAAUCAUUCAAAAAGAUGACGGGUUUAGAAACCGAGAAUUCUAUGUCAGCAUGGGGCUGGGUUUUGGUGUUGGACUUGGUGGAGUUUUUGCCACUUUAUUGCUCAAACGUUCAUGGGAAUAUGCCUAUUUCAAGUUCCUGAUCAACAUAAAAGAUUGGCUUUAUGUGACAACAACAAUAAAUAUGGCCAAAUUGAGGAGGUGGCGUCAAAGCUAAUAGGUACUAAAUUGAGCAGGAAGCUUGUAAGCUAUUAGGGAACGGGAAUGAAGUGGCGAAUGACGUUCCACCACAGGUCUGGCAUGGAUUAGAUGAUCAUUUUGUUAUUUUUGUAUCUAAGUCCCACUAUUUUUGUAAAACUUAGUAUAUUGUAUUCUAUACUGAGACUUAUGGACUCUUACUAUUGUAGUUAUAUUUAUGGGCUGUAAUUUUAUUAGAAGUUGUCUAAACGUUGUAAGAUAUGGACGUUUGACCUUAAUUAUAUUUUUGGGACUGUAAUUAUGAUAUUUGGAUUAAAUAGCAUGUAGUUGUUCCACCAUAAACUGAACUAUGUUGAGAUAUAAUGAAUGGAUGAAAUAAAUGUAUUAUUUGUAUUGUGCUGGGACAGGUUAGGUAAAUUUUAAAGGUUCAAGAGGGGCCUUAUGCAUUUUUAUGCAUUUAAGUAGGUUGUUGUAGGACCCUUUUUAGCAGAGGUCAUGCCGAAUUUUUUUUUUUAUAAUUGGUAUCAGUUUAGGGCCGUUACAAUUCUAGAGC